GGAGGUUCCAGAUCCUCACAGGGCAUUUCAACAGAGAGGAAUGUCUAUUUCUUGAAUGUGGCAUUGAUGUUAAAUCUGUGUGGUGCAGGUGUCUAUAUAAUUUUCGAUUCACUCUGGCAAACCACUUUGAGAACUAGCACAUACCCUAAGACUAGAGGCCUUGUAGGUGGUCCUGAUUGGUCAGGAGAGGACUUCCACACAUAUGAUGAGAAGAAGGCAAAUCAUACAAAUAUGAAGUCUGAAUUGAGAGGUUUCCCUUGUUCCCAUGAUCUGAUUGCCCAUGUCCAGCACUGGAGAUUUGGUCAUCAUAAGCAUCAUUGUACCAAGCUUGAUCAACUCAGGAUCUGUUGGAGGAAGUUCAGGAUGAACCUGUGGGCUUGGAUGUCCCGUCAGGGUCACCGCGAGGCUCGGCUGCCUCGGCCAUCUGCCCCUCACUCUUUGACGUCUCUUCAAAUUAAACACCACGCCCUGUGGUAAAUUGUUCCUGCUUUAUAAACAGCCGACCUGGCUGGAGUUGCCCUGAAAAUGCUACAGAGGAAGGGUGUCAGAGAGAAGAAAAAGGAAAGGCCGCAGACGCAAGGGCAAAUUUGUUGGUCAGAGGACUCCAGUCUCUAAGGAAUCUAAGAGCUUUCUGUGUAAAGGAGGUGUCCCGGGAGCCUCUCCGCUCACAGCUCUCAUGACUUUUUUCUUUUUAGAUUU